GCCAUGCGCUAUGCAUGCACGACGUGCGCUAUACUCGCACAAAGUGAGAAGAUUUAGUUCACGGAGAAUGCAUAUGGAUUGAAACUGAAGAGCUGGAAGGAGGACAUUACAACAUCUCUUAUAUUUGCAAGAUGAAGCAGAAAGUCCCAUGCAGGAUGAUGCUUCUCUACAGCGGAUGGUGAAGGCAUUCUG